UAACUUCGGUUCUUUUUUUUC
rnacentral:piRNA from 1 species